UCCAACCGGGUCAACCUGUUUUAUUGAUUCCGGGUCCUUAACCGUUGGAUUUGGAUUCUGAAACCUUCUGUCUAUAAUAGAAGUUUCCGGGGCAUAGAUUUUUUCCCCUGAAAGGACCUUCACCCAUAAGUUGAAGGCAUAGAAUAAAGAGAAUGAAUCUCCCAUGAUGUUGGCCCAGCUCAUGCCCAAAGCUAAUCCUCUGCACUUAAACCGGGUCAUCUGCGGAUACAAACCGAGAUAAGGUCCAAAGACUAAUCACUAAGAGGUUCGUAAAAAUUCAGGUUUUCUUGCCACUUAACACGUCCAUGAAUUACCAAAGAAAAUUGAACCCUGGGUAGAAGCUCUUGCUGGAAUCCUUUUACCACUAUGCCAAGACCACUUGGUUCAAAUUUGGUAUUUAACCAAACCGCAUCUUUAUCUAUUCACACUCUGUAACCCCAUGGGGGAAUCUCACUCUUUUCUAUUUAUUCCUAAAUGUAUGUAAUAAAAUCACUUGCUUUGCCUUUGAUUCGUGGUCUAUUUGGCAAACCAUUUGCAAAAGCAUUAUACUCUUUAUUAUUUAAUCAACAGUUUUUUUUUAAGAAAGGUUAUUUACAUAACUAUCAAUGAUUGCAAAAAUCUAAUCAGACCUAUCAAUUACAUAGUGUGUUGAAACCAGUGCCGGUCCGGACUUUUCCGGCUCCUAAAGCGGACUAUAAAAAUGUUGCUCUUUUAUCCUAACUAAAUUUACCAUAUGAUAAUUAUAAAAUUAUAAUCAGUAAAUAUUACUCCUUAGAACUUAGGUUAUUUUAAAAAAAAACCAAUAAAUACAAAAAACAUCAAAACAUUAUUUGCAGCUCAUCUUCUUUGUUUUCAUUUUCUAUUUUCAGUUCACUUGGUUGAUUUCUACGUCUAUUUUUAGUAGCAUUUUCUACAAAUCUAAGAAAACAAAAAGAACAAAAAGUAUAAUAUAUAGAUAGAGCAAAACAUAUACUAGUAACAUAUGCUAACAUCAACUCUACAAUUUUUAUGUUUUCACAAAGUUUCAGAAAAUGUUAAACCCCUAUGAUAGAUUUUAGUUUUGUGAAUUUAAAAAGUCCCUAACAAAAUUACAAAAACUGGAAAAGGGCUUACAUGAAAUUCCUAUAGAGCUAUUCUGACAAAGAUCAGUUACUAUGAAAAGUGGAACAUGAGCAAUUGGUAGUUAAAUUUUUUUUAUAAUAUCCCUUAUCCAUACAUAUUCUACCAAACCGAAAGAAUGAAAAAAAAAUGGAGAAAGUAAGUACUAAAUUUUAAUAAAAUAAAAGAAAUCAAAUCAUUUGUAUAUACAUAAUAAAAGAAACUAGGGUUGUUGGAGCAUGAACCCAAAUCAUCCGUAUAUCUUUAUAAGUUGUUAUUUUUGAAAAAAAAAAAAAAAAUUAUUAUUAUCAAAAAGAAGGGAGGUGAGAAUCGAACUUAUUACCCG